rnacentral:rRNA from 1 species
GAAGGGGGCUAGCGUUGCUCGGAAUCACUGGGCGUAAAGGUGCGUAGGCGGGUCUUUAAGUCAGGGGUGAAAUCCUGGAGCUCAACUCCAGAACUGCCUUUGAUACUGAAGAUCUUGAGUUCGGGAGAGGUGAGUGGAACUGCGAGUGUAGAGGUGAAAUUCGUAGAUAUUCGCAAGAACACCAGUGGCGAAGGCGGCUCACUGGCCCGAUACUGACGCUGAGGCACGAAAGCGUGGGGAGCAAACAGGAUUGGAUACCCUGGUAGUCCACGCCGUAAACGAUGAAUGCCAGCCGUUAGUGGGUUUACUCACUAGUGGCGCAGCUAACGCUUUAAGCAUUCCGCCUGGGGAGUACGGUCGCAAGAUUA